ACAAAUAAUCUAGCUAGUUGUUAGUAUUCACUUUUAUGGAGGCCAGAAAGACAUUUGGGAUCUUAUUUUUGCUAUUGGUUUUCACGUUUGCUCAGAUGAACAUCCCUCAAGUGGAAGCAAAACGUUGUUGGUCAAAGAGCCAUGAUUUCAAGGGUAUUUGUAUACGCCACGAAAAUUGUGCCUUGCUUUGCAGGAUUCAGGGAAAUAGUGGUGGUAAAUGUCGAGGGUUUCCGCCUGCAUGUAAAUGCAGCAGACGUUGUUAGUUGAAAAUCCAUAGGAUGAAUUGUGAAGCAGAAGCUACUGUAUUGUGUUGUAAUCUGAAGAAUUUGUAUAUUCUAUUAUCCUUCUCUUUGUCGUUUCUUUAGGCGUUUGGAAGUUUUGCUACAAAUUGAGGACAAAACAGUUGUUUGAUUUUUUUUGCAUGUAAUUUUUUACAUUAUGGUAGAUUUUCUUUCCCUUUAUGGCUCCA